AAAUAAUUAUCAACAGGCAGACACGGGUACAAAGAUGAUACAUAAAGGAAAGAAUACAAGGAGUAGAAUUAUCUCAAAAGGAAUUUCUGCUGGGAACUCAAGGAACUGUUAUAGGGGGCUUGUUCAGGUUCAAUCCAAAGCAGACAAUGCUAAGAACUCAUCACAAUGUGAUUCUAUGCUCAUUGGUGACAAUGCUGCUGCCAACACUUAUCCAUA
rnacentral:misc_RNA from 1 species